rnacentral:rRNA from 1 species
CCUACGGGAGGCAGCAGUGAGGAAUAUUGGUCAAUGGACGAGAGUCUGAACCAGCCAAGUAGCGUGAAGGAUGACUGCCCUACGGGUUGUAAACUUCUUUUAUCUGGGAAUAAAAUGUUUCACGUGUGGCUUUUUGUGUGUACCAGAUGAAAAAGCAUCGGCUAACUCCGUGCCAGCAGCCGCGGUAAUACGGAGGAUCCGAGCGUUAUCCGGAUUUAUUGGGUUUAAAGGGUGCGGAGGUGGAUUGUGAAGUCAGUGGUGAAAGUUUGCGGCUCAACCGUAGAAUUGCAGUUGAAACUGGAAGUCUUGAGUACAGGAGAGGUGGGCGGAAUUCGUGGUGUAGCGGUGAAAUGCUUAGAUAUCACGAAGAACUCCGAUUGCGAAGGCAGCUCACUGGACUGCAACUGACACUGAGGCUCGAAAGUGUGGGUAUCAAACAGGAUUAGAUACCCUAGUAGUC